rnacentral:misc_RNA from 1 species
UUUCCGUAGGUGAACCUGCGGAAGGAUCAUUAUUGUAUAGCCGAGGUGCGAGGGCUGUCGCUGACCCGAAAGGUCGUGCACGCUCGUGUGCUCUCACACCCCUCCAUCUCACCCCUAUGUGCACCACCGCGUGGGUCCACCUUUGGCUUGUUCGGAGGGGGGCUUACGUUUUCACACAAACUUUGUAUGCAGUGUAGAAUGUAGUUUUUGUUUUUGCGAUCACGCAACCAAUACAACUUUCAACAACGGAUCUCUUGGCUCUC